GACGAACGCUGGCGGCGUGCUUAACACAUGCAAGUCGAACGAUGAAGGAGAGCUUGCUCUCCGGAUUAGUGGCGAACGGGUGAGUAACACGUGACUAACCUGCCCCUUUCUCUGGGAUAACGCUCCGAAAGGAGUGCUAAUACCGGAUACGAACUCUGAACACAUGUUCGGAGUUGGAAAGUUUUUCGGAAAGGGAUGGAGUCGCGGCCUAUCAGCUUGUUGGUGAGGUAACGGCUCACCAAGGCGACGACGGGUAGCCGGCCUGAGAGGGCGACCGGCCACACUGGGACUGAGACACGGCCCAGACUCCUACGGGAGGCAGCAGUGGGGAAUAUUGCACAAUGGGCGAAAGCCUGAUGCAGCGACGCCGCGUGAGGGAUGAAGGUCUUCGGAUUGUAAACCUCUUUCAGUAGGGACGAAGCGAAAGUGACGGUACCUAAAGAAGAAGCACCGGCUAACUACGUGCCAGCAGCCGCCGUAA
rnacentral:rRNA from 1 species